rfam:Camelus ferus unplaced genomic scaffold scaffold386, whole genome shotgun sequence.
GGAGGGGACAGCUCAGUGGUAGAGUGCGUGCUUAGCAUGCACGAGGUCCUAGAUUCAAUCCCCAGUACCUCCA